GCCCAAUUUCGCACGUGCCUGUGGCCGUGUGUCGAUCGGUGGGCAUCCGGACAAGAGGCCGGACAGCCGCCCGGAGCGAGACCCGAGGUUUUGCGAACCGACUGGUUCACGAGCCCCCUGGUCGCAAAUGCUCCGAACCACUUGAUCGGCAGCCGGAGGCGAAACCGGCGCACCUCGUUCUCCACGAGGGACGCGGCUUAAAGCAACGACGACACGGGCUUUU
rnacentral:sRNA from 1 species